CUCUCUCUUCUUAACAAUAAGUUUGAACCCAUGCUAAGCAUUCUUGGACCUACUUUGUUUAUCUGUUUUACCUUCUAAGUGUGUUAAGAGUAUUCCAAAUUCUAUGUGAUUUCACCAUGAACCAAGAUUGUUCUUUACUAGUUUGGUUUGAAUCUUUUUCUGGUUUGUUGUUAUCUUACUGGUUGAACGCUAAGGCAAACAUAGGGAUUUUUUUAGCCCUCCUUCGAUAGCCUGCCAUGCCCGGUGUUCGAGAAACCUUUUGAUCUUGUGCGGCAUCGGAAACACUGCUGGUGAUAGCCCCCUUUGCUAUCUUAUCUUUUUAAUUUGAUGCUUAGUCUAAUGUUCUUGAGCAGCCUUUAAGUUUGUUUUCUCUUUAAAGCACUGAAGUGUUUUGAUGUCUUUGUUCCUUAAUAAUUACUUCAAAUGAUUGAUUACUUAGUAUUCCUUUAAGUUAUUGUCGAAAGAUAUGAAAUUAUUGAUACUCAUCCUUCACCCUUCUCUUUUCUUUGUAUGACUUGGGGAACUUUCAAAUCCCAAAUGCCCUUGAGUUGCUGCUAAACUUCAAAUGAAGUGGUUGCUGUUUGCUGUUGGGUUUUUUUGAGCAACAUUUAGAGUUAAUUUGCUGAUACACAUCCUAAUACCUUUGUUGUUAUAUGGAGCUGCUGUAUUUGUGAGCUGUUAUACCUCCUAAGCUGCUCAAUUUGAGGGGCUGGUAGCAAUGCUUUGACGUACAUUUGCUUAUAAACUCUCUGCUGCAAAUCAAUACUAUUCCUGAGUGCUAUAUAGCAAACUAUUGUUGUUAUUUUCCCCGAGAAACAAAUGCAGCACCUUGCGACUUAUUGGCCUGCUAAUGCCUUGAUCAAAUUGCUGAGCUUUGAGGCCUAUUUUGCUACUGAUACUCUUAUGGGAUUACCGUUACUUUGCUGCUACUAGCUGCACUUGUUGUUGCUACUUAUUCUUCCUAAAUUGCUGCACUUUGGGCCAAAAUGUUACUGCUCUUUUAGGCUGAAAGAUGUGGCACCUUGAGAUAAUAUUGAGGGCAAAUAGCUUCCAUUGUUGCUGCUACCUGUUGCUAUGACUAGAUUUGUUGCACAUUAAUUGUUAAGGCCAGGUGUUCCUGCCUUUGAUGCACUUUGAGACUCAUAUGUUGAUGCAUUCUUGAAAGCCAAACGUUGCACUUGCAACAUUUUGAUGAGUUAUUCAUACUACUUUGAAUAAUCUGAUAACCUAUCUCAUCUUGAUGUCUUGUAUGAGCUGCUGUUUUGAGCUACUGCCUAUUUCAAAAAGGAGCAUAUGUUAUAUGUGAUGAAAUGGCUGCUGCUAUAUGUUCUUGAUGAAAACAGAUUGCUACACUCGAUCAAUUUACUGAUUUGAACAGAUGCUACGCUUGGGCCGAUGAGAACAUUUAAUUUCAGGUCAUGCUUCAUCCGGAAAGAGUUCGUAGCAGGUUCCUCCUCCACACCUCGUGAGUGAUCCCGAGGAUUAGCUUGUACAGUUUCCAAGAUGAGCAUUGAAUGGAUCUUGCUGCCCAGAGACUCCACUAUAUUACUUGUCUUAUUCCCUAUUCAAAGACAGUAUCAUUAUUCUAGACUUAUAUUAUUCAGACUUGUAUUACUAGCUCUUGUACGAUUCAGAUAAGAUCCCGAGGGAUUAUGUAUUAGUAUUCCGCUUUAGUAAUUAUUUAUAUUA